AGAUGCUCCAGAUUUCUGUCUUGCUUCACAUAAUUGGGAUGCGUUAUCAGCUGCAGGAGAUCUCCUUUGCUCCAGAGAGACCUGUCCUGACUAGAAGAUAUCACUUCUGUUUGGAAGUGCAGUAAUGGAUGGAGAGCUGGAAUCCCU
rnacentral:lncRNA from 12 species